UACGUAGGGACCAAGCGUUGUUCGGAUUUACUGGGCGUAAAGGGCGCGUAGGCGGCAUAUUAAGUCAGCUGUGAAAUCUCCGAGCUUAACUCGGAACGGUCAGCUGAUACUGAUGUGCUAGAGUGCAGAAGGGGCAAUCGGAAUUCUUGGUGUAGCGGUGAAAUGCGUAGAUAUCAAGAGGAACACCUGAGGUGAAGACGGGUUGCUGGGCUGACACUGACGCUGAGGCGCGAAAGCCAGGGGAGCAAAC
rnacentral:rRNA from 1 species